UACGUAGGGGGCAAGGGUUGUCCGGAUUUAUUGGGCGUAAAGAGCUCGUAGGCGGUCUGUCGCGUCGGAUGUGAAAACCCAGGGCUCAACCCUGGGCCUGCAUUCGAUACGGGCAGACUAGAGUACGGCAGGGGAGACUGGAAUUCCUGGUGUAGCGGUGAAAUGCGCAGAUAUCAGGAGGAACACCGGUGGCGAAGGCGGGUCUCUGGGCCGUAACUGACGCUGAGGAGCGAAAGCGUGGGGAGCGAACAGG
rnacentral:rRNA from 1 species